rnacentral:rRNA from 1 species
CGUGUAGGCGGCUCAUCAAGUCUGGUGUGAAAUCGCAAGGCUCAACCUUGCAUAUGCGCUGGAAACUGGUGGGCUUGAGUUCUUGAGGGGAAGCUGGAAUUCCAGGUGUAGGGGUGAAAUCUGUAGAUAUCUGGAAGAACACCGGUGGCGAAGGCGAGCUUCUAUCAGAGGACUGACGCUGAGGCGCGAAAGCGUGGGGAGCAAACAGGAUUAGAUACCCUGGUAGUCCACGCUGUAAACGAUGUGCACUAGGCGUGGGGCACGUACGUGCUCUGUGCCGUAGUUAACGUGAUAAGUGCACCGCCUGGGGAGUAUGCUCGCAAGGGUGAA